UACGGAGGGAGCUAGCGUUGUUCGGAUAUACUGGGCGUAAAGCGCACGUAGGCGGCGCCGUAAGUCAGGGGUGAAAUCCCGGAGCUCAACUCCGGAACUGCCCUUGAAACUGCAGUGCUAGAAUUCUGGAGAGGCGAGUGGAAUUCCGAGUGUAGAGGUGAAAUUCGUAGAUAUUCGGAAGAACACCAGUGGCGAAGGCGACUUACUGGACACAUAUUGACGCUGAGGUGCGAAAGCGUGGGGAGCAAACAGG
rnacentral:rRNA from 1 species